rnacentral:rRNA from 1 species
GACGAACGCUGGCGGCGUGCCUAAUACAUGCAAGUCGAACGAAGCUGUUUUAACUGGUGCUUGCACCGAAUUAAACAACUGAGUGGCGAACGGGUGAGUAACACGUGGGUAACCUGCCCCAAAGCGGGGGAUAACAUUUGGAAACAGAUGCUAAUACCGCAUAACCACAGAAACCACAUGGUUUCUGUGUCAAAUAUGGUUUCGGCUAUCACUUUGGGAUGGACCCGCGGCGUAUUAGCUAGUUGGUAAGGUAAUGGCUUACCAAGGCAAUGAUACGUAGCCGAACUGAGAGGUUGAUCGGCCACAUUGGGACUGAGACACGGCCCAAACUCCUACGGGAGGCAGCAGUAGGGAAUCUUCCACAAUGGACGAAAGUCUGAUGGAGCAACGCCGCGUGAGUGAAGAAGGUUUUCGGAUCGUAAAACUCUGUUGUCAGAGAAGAACGUGUGCGAGAGUAACUGCUCGUGCAGUGACGGUAUCUGGCCAGAAAGCCACGGCUAACUACGUGCCAGCAGCCGCAGUAA